rnacentral:rRNA from 1 species
UACAGAGGUCUCAAGCGUUGUUCGGAUUCAUUGGGCGUAAAGGGUGCGUAGGCGGCGCGGUAAGUCGGGUGUGAAAUUUCGAGGCUUAACUUCGAAACUGCAUUCGAUACUGCCGUGCUAGAGGACUGGAGAGGAGACUGGAAUUUACGGUGUAGCGGUGAAAUGCGUAGAUAUCCGGAGGAACACCGGUGGCGAAGGCGGCUUCCUGGACCGACACUGACGCUGAGGCGCGAAAGCUAGGGGAGCAAACGGG